AGCCGGCGCUGCUUUACGGCAGGCGUGGGCGGGGGGUGCAGUCGAGUCCCGCCGGCCCCCGCGCGAAGAUGGGAGCCGGCCCGGUGUUUCACGCCAGCGCGUGGCCUCCGCCAGGGUGUCAGGCAGAGUGGAAGGAGAGGAGGAGAAGGGAAGUCGGGGACGUCGGUCAUGUCUAGGCGCUGGUGUUCUGGGUGAGUGAGUGCCCUUUGUUCUCUUCCUUCUCCUCUUCCAAAAGGGUUCAUUUCAUCACAGGAAAAGGUCAGUGGUUCUGGUGGUUCAGCAAGCCUCAAGAAGGGGAGACUCCCAAGGUAGGUCCGUGGCACGGGGCCACCGGCGUACCGUGCCGGAGUUUUCCGGCUUGAUAGCAGAGGCUCUCGGGCCAGGUCCCGCU
rnacentral:lncRNA from 9 species